rnacentral:rRNA from 1 species
UGGGGAAUAUUGGACAAUGGGCGCAAGCCUGAUCCAGCCAUGCCGCGUGAGUGACGAAGGUCUUCGGAUUGUAAAGCUCUUUUGGCGGGGACGAUAAUGACGGUACCCGCAGAAUAAGCCCCGGCUAACUUCGUGCCAGCAGCCGCGGUAAUACGAAGGGGGCUAGCGUUGUUCGGAAUUACUGGGCGUAAAGCGCACGUAGGCGGACUGAUAAGUCAGGGGUGAAAUCCCGGGGCUCAACCUCGGAACUGCCUGUGAUACUGUUAGUCUCGAGUCCGGAAGAGGUGAGUGGAAUUCCUAGUGUAGAGGUGAAAUUCGUAGAUAUUAGGAAGAACACCAGUGGCGAAGGCGGCCCACUGGUCCGGUACUGACGCUGAGGUGCGAAAGCGUGGGGAGCAAACAGGAUUAGAUACCCAUGUAGUCCCUGAGCGGGCUGGCAAGGCGCAU